GUUUGGAUACUCUAAUAGACAAUAAUGUGAUAUUCUAAUAUACAGUAAUAUGGCUCGGACAUUGUUGCAGUCGGCGGCUACGGUCUGGAUAAAUAACAGACCUCGGCUGCAGCCGGCGCCAGCACCUAGUUUCUCAACUCUGGAAGAGUCGUCCGUUAUAAGCGUUUUAAACCGUUUUCCUUACGGAACGAAGUGUUCUUUCCACGCUAUCGUAACGACGUUCGAUCCUUUAGGGUUCUAUUACCUCGGACCUUCGAGGUUAGGAAAAAGAACGGGGAAUAUACAAUUAUUCGAGAACCGUGAGUCGGAAACUAGAUAUCGCGAAAGACGUAUCUAGCCGCCUGUGGGUACGUAUAAUAUAGUAUACCAACAUCGCCGUAACGUUUCCGCUUAAGUGGCUGUCGGGCUCCGCAGUUUUCUCGUUCCAAUCCAGGUUAGGCCUAUCUCCGACGUACCGCUAGAUCUUGUACGCAAAAAAGAAACACCCGGUUCUCGUUCGUAUAGAUACGAUAGUUCUUUGGAUAGGGAAGUCCGCAGAGGUCGUCAACCCCGCACUAUCUUCCAAUUGGAAUUACACGUUAACCGUUAUUCUCGAGAAGAUAGAAGUCAGUAUAUAUACCUUAUAAAGAACUCUAAAACGUGUAAAAGUAUGGUAGAGUUCCGAAGUAUUGUCGGUCGGCGCACAGUGGGGUAUUUGGCCGAUCUGGGCGGCCAAAAGUCCAUUUUAUAAUAUUUGUCUCA
rnacentral:lncRNA from 1 species